rnacentral:rRNA from 1 species
GACGAACGCUGGCGGCGUGCUUAACACAUGCAAGUCGAACGGAGUGGCGAACGGGUGAGUAACACGUGGGUGAACUUCCUUGCACGUCGGGAUAAGCUUGGGAAACUGGGACUAAAUACGGAUAGUGCAAGAUGAGCUCGCGGCCUAUCAGCUUGUUGGGGGGGUAAUGGCCUAUCAAGGCGUCGACGGGUAGCCGGCCUGAGAGGGGGUACGGCCACAUUGGGACUGCGAGACGGCCCAGACGGCAAUGGGGGGCAGUGGUGGCGAAUAUUGUACAAUGGGCGGACGCCUGAUGCAGAGACGCCGCGGGGGGGAUGAAGGCCUUGCGGGUGUAAACUCCUUUCGACAGGGACGCGGUACCUGUAUAAGAAGCACCGGCUAACUACGUGCCAGCAGCCGCGGUAAUAC